GAUGAACGCUGGCGGCGUGCCUAAUACAUGCAAGUCGAGCGAAUGGAUUAAGAGCUUGCUCUUAUGAAGUUAGCGGCGGACGGGUGAGUAACACGUGGGUAACCUGCCCAUAAGACUGGGAUAACUCCGGGAAACCGGGGCUAAUACCGGAUAAUAUUUUGAACUGCAUGGUUCAAAAUUGAAAGGCGGCUUCGGCUGCCACUUAUGGAUGGACCCGCGUCGCAUUAGCUAGUUGGUGAGGUAACGGCUCACCAAGGCAACGAUGCGUAGCCGACCUGAGGGGGUGAUCGGCCACACUGGGACUGAGACACGGCCCAGACUCCUACGGGAGGCAGCAGUAGGGAAUCUUCCGCAAUGGACGAAAGUCUGACGGAGCAACGCCGCGUGAGUGAUGAAGGCUUUCGGGUCGUAAAACUCUGUUGUUAGGGAAGAACAAGUGCUAGUUGAAUAAGCUGGCACCUUGACGGUACCUAACCAGAAAGCCACGGCUAACUACGUGCCAGCAGCCGCAGUAA
rnacentral:rRNA from 1 species